rnacentral:rRNA from 1 species
UCUACGGGAGGCAGCAGUGGGGAAUAUUGGACAAUGGGGGAAACCUUGAUGCAGCGACGCCGCGUGAAGGAUGAAGUAUUUCGGUAUGUAAACUUCUAUCAGCAGGGAAGAAAAUGACGGUACCUGACUAAGAAGCCCCGGCUAACUACGUGCCAGCAGCCGCGGUAAUA